rnacentral:lncRNA from 1 species
AAGAAAGACAGAGGUCCCCUGUGUGACCCUAAGAUAUCCGAGUCCAGGGAACUACUCAGAAUUUCAUUGACACCUACCCCUCUGUUCUUCUUCCAUUGAGGAAGUCAAAAGAUCUCCAGUUCCAUUUGUGAGACACCACCAGGCCCUGGUGCUGAAAAACUCUGAGAAGUGCUGGUAGUAGAGAUGAAGGGAACCAUUACAAGACAAUAUGGAAAAGUAAACUCCAUUCUGGAAAAUGUUGGGAAGUGAGAGGGAAAUUGAAGGCUGAGAAUCUGAUAUCAAAACACCAAGAACCUGGAGUAGUACAAGGCUGUCAGAUCUUCACUGAGAGUCGGAUGGAGGAGGCUGGGCACUGAGAGUCAGAUGGAGGAAGCUUUGGCACUGCUAAAGUGAAGGAGAGAAUGGGAGACAGGCAGGUGAACGAACACAUUUGACCCACAGUUGGAAGCGGCAACGCGGGCAUUCUUCUAUUGUGACAUCUGCCUGACUCGGCCUACACUGUGGACAAACAGAUGAAUACCCAGAGAGUUGCAUGUCUCAUAUUGCCUAAGACGAAGACAGCUCCUGAGAAGCAAGCCACAGAUGCUCCAGCCUGCUCUCACAGACACAGACGCUUCUACUGGACCUGCACCUUCCUACCUAAAAAUGGUUCCACAGAUCUUAGACAGCAAGGAAGCAGCUAACUCUCCUAAGACUGGACCAG